AUACGGAGGAUGCGAGCGUUAUCCGGAUUUAUUGGGUUUAAAGGGUGCGUAGGCUGUGCGUUAAGUCAGGGGUGAAAUGCCGUCGCUCAACGACGGAGCUGCCCUUGAUACUGGCGUGCUGGAGUACGGAUGCCGUUGGAGGAAUGAGUGGUGUAGCGGUGAAAUGCUUAGAUAUCACUCAGAACACCGAUUGCGAAGGCAUCUGACGAAUCCGUCACUGACGCUGAGGCACGAAAGCGUGGGGAUAGAACAGGAUUAGAUACCCUGGUAUUCCACGCCGUAAACGAUGAUGACUAACCGUCGGCGAUAGACAGCCGGUGGCCAAGCGAAAGCGAUAAGUCAUCCACCUGGGGAGUACGUCGGCAACGAUGAAACUCAAAGGAAUUGACGGG
rnacentral:rRNA from 1 species